AAUAUUUGACAAUGGGCGAAAGCCUGAUCCAGCCAUGCCGCGUGUGUGAAGAAGGUAUUCGGUGUGUAAAGCACUGUAAGUUGGGAGGAAGGGCAGUAAGUUAAUACCUUGCUGUUUUGACGGUACCGACAGAAUAAGCAGCGGCUAACUUCGUUCCAGCAGCAGCGGUCAUACGAAGUGUGAAAGCGUUAAUCGGAAUUAGUGGGCGUAACGCGCACGUAGGUGGUUCGUUAAGUUGGAUGUGGAAGCCACGGGCUCAACCUGGGAACUGCAUCCAAAACUGGCGAGCUAGAGUACGGUAGAGGGUGGUGGAAUUUCCUGUGUAGCGGUGAAAUGCGUAGAUAUAGGAAGGAACACCAGUGGCGAAGGCGACCACCUGGACUGAUACUGACACUGAGGUGCGAAAGCGUGGGGAGCAAACAGG
rnacentral:rRNA from 1 species